rnacentral:rRNA from 1 species
AUUGAACGCUGGCGGCAGGCCUAACACAUGCAAGUCGAACGAGUGGCGGUCGGGUGAGUAAUGUUUGGGAAUCUGUCUGCUGGAGGGUGAUAACUACUAGAAACUGUAGCUAAUACCUCAUACUGUCGUAUGUUCCCAAGUGGGAUUAGCUAGUUGGUGGGGUAAAGGCUAACCUAGGCGACGAUCCCUAGCUGGUCUGAGAGGAUGACCAGCAACACUGGAACGGAGAAACGGCCCGAACUCCUACGGGAGGAAGCAGAGGGAAAGAUUGCACAAUGGGGGCAACCCUGAUGAAGCCAUGCGGCGUGGAUGAGGAAGGCCUUCGGGUUGUAAAGUACUUUCGGCAGGGAGGCGGUACCCACAGAAGAAGCACCGGCUAACUCCGUGCCAGCAGCCGCGGUAAUAC